rnacentral:rRNA from 1 species
AGCUUGCUCCUUUGACGUUAGCGGCGGACGGGUGAGUAACACGUGGGCAACCUACCUUAUAGUUUGGGAUAACUCCGGGAAACCGGGGCUAAUACCGAAUAAUCUAUUUUACUUCAUGGUGAAAUACUGAAAGACGGUUUCGGCUGUCGCUAUAAGAUGGGCCCGCGGCGCAUUAGCUAGUUGGUGAGGUAACGGCUCACCAAGGCGACGAUGCGUAGCCGACCUGAGAGGGUGAUCGGCCACACUGGGACUGAGACACGGCCCAGACUCCUACGGGAGGCAGCAGUAGGGAAUCUUCCACAAUGGGCGAAAGCCUGAUGGAGCAACGCCGCGUGAGUGAAGAAGGUUUUCGGAUCGUAAAACUCUGUUGUAAGGGAAGAACAAGUACAGUAGUAACUGGCUGUACCUUGACGGUACCUUAUUAGAAAGCCACGGCUAACUACGUGCCAGCAGCCGCGGUAAUACGUAGGUGGCAAGCGUUGUCCGGAAUUAUUGGGCGUAAAGCGCGCGCAGGCGGUCCUUUAA